AGGGCAGCACUGCAGUAAUGGUUUUAUCUUGGCAUAAGAUCUUGAAUACUGAAUUACAUUGCAAAAGGAACAGUGGUUGUAGCAUAGCAACUCGGGAGAGAAAUGAAAAUCCAUAAUGGUUUUCUCCUCCCAUGCAAUCAGGAGUGGAAAUAAGCUUUUUGGCAAUCGGACAAGACCACACACGGAUCCCGAGCUUACAGUCAGUACUCCUACAAGGAGUCAGAAAUGGAGACUAAGACUUGAGAAAAUUAGGAGGCUCUGGCACACUGCAUGGGGAGCACGCUGCAGGGCAGCUCCAGGCGGGCAGACAUCUCCGUCACCGAAACGGCCGUCCCGGAUUAGCUCUGCAAACAGCUCUGACAAGCGCUUGCACUUGCGUCAAGUUAUUUUAAAGGUUCUCAUCUACGCUUAUCUAACUGGAUGAGGUUUAACUACUUGUAAGCCAAGCCUGGAUGUUGUGGCUG